rnacentral:rRNA from 1 species
AGCUCUCCGAGUGGUGUGGACGUUUAUUGGGCCUAAAGCAUCCGUAGCUGGCUGAACAAGUCCCCUGUUAAACCCACCGAUUUAAUCGUUGGUCUGCGGGGGAUACUGCUCGGCUAUGGGACGAGAGAGGCAGACGGUAUUCCCGGGGUAGGGGUGAAAUCCUAUAAUCCCGAGAAGACCACCAGUGGCGAAGGCUGUCUGCUAGAACGCGCCCGACGGUGAGGGAUGAAAGCUGGGGGAGCGAACC